CAGUAGCCGCGGUAAUACGUAGGGUGCAAGCGUUAAUCGGAAUUACUGGGCGUAAAGCGUGCGCAGGAGGUUCGUUAAGACAGAUGUGAAAUCCCCGGGCUUAACCUGGGAACUGCAUUUGUGACUGUCGGGCUAGAGUAUGGCAGAGGGGGGUAGAAUUCCACGUGUAGCAGUGAAAUGCGUAGAGAUGUGGAGGAAUACCGAUGGCGAAGGCAGCCCCCUGGGCCAAUACUGACGCUCAUGCACGAAAGCGUGGGGAGCAAACAGGAUUAGAUACCCGAGUAGUCCCUGUCUCUUAUAC
rnacentral:rRNA from 1 species